GCGUGAUGCCAUGCAGGUAUGCUCCUUUGCCGUAGCGCUCCGGCGCUGUGCCGACAGACAUACCACACUCUAUCCCAAUGCUUAAUUCACUUCAGCUG
rnacentral:snoRNA from 1 species